AUUGAACGCUGGCGGCAUGCCUUACACAUGCAAGUCGAACGGCAGCACGGGAGCAAUCCUGGUGGCGAGUGGCGAACGGGUGAGUAAAGUAUCGGAACGUGCCCAGUCGUGGGGGAUAACGUAGCGAAAGUUACGCUAAUACCGCAUACGAUCUAUGGAUGAAAGCGGGGGAUCGCAAGACCUAGCGCGAUUGGAGCGGCCGAUAUCAGAUUAGGUAGGUGGUGGGGUAAAGGCUCACCAAGCCGACGAUCUGUAGCUGGUCUGAGAGGACGACCAGCCACACUGGGACUGAGACACGGCACAGACUCCUACGGGAGGCAGCAGUGGGGAAUUUUGGACAAUGGGCGAAAGCCUGAUCCAGCCAUGCCGCGUGCAGGAUGAAGGCCUUCGGGUUGUAAACUGCUUUUGUACGGAACGAAAAGGUUUGGGCUAAUAAGCUGAGCUCAUGACGGUACUGUAAGAAUAAGCACCGGCUAACUACGUGCCAGCCGCCGCCGUAA
rnacentral:rRNA from 1 species